rnacentral:rRNA from 1 species
UACGUAGGGUGCAAGCGUUAAUCGGAAUUACUGGGCGUAAAGCGUGCGCAGGCGGUUUUGUAAGACAGAGGUGAAAUCCCCGGGCUCAACCUGGGAACUGCCUUUGUGACUGCAAGGCUUGAGUGCGGCAGAGGGGGAUGGAAUUCCGCGUGUAGCAGUGAAAUGCGUAGAUAUGCGGAGGAACACCGAUGGCGAAGGCAAUCCCCCGGGCCUGCACUGACGCUCAUGCACGAAAGCGUGGGGAGCAAACAGG